UUUUGUGCGUGAUUCGUUUUUAUUUCUACUUCGCCACGAUUUAUGGACUACAAUUAGCUUCAUUUAUUUGAUAAUUGCGAAAAUAACUUUAUUAGGAAGUAAAGUUAUACAUCAAAGACGGUUUAAUGACGAAUUCGAUUGAAUUGGAAUCCCUUCAUACAGCUUCAGCCAUGAUUUAUUUCAACAAAUCAUCGAUUGAGAUUUUUUGCAUUUUUCUACUUACAUCCUUUAUACGUGAAAAUAGCUUCCAUGAUGUCUUGUUAUUGGUUUAUAACAACUUUGAGGACAACAUCCUUCGCAUCUGACGAUGGAUUUCAGUAGUUAUCGUCCCCUCGUUGUGAGAUCUGGUAAUUUGAUAUCGUUUUUCAAUCAUAAUUUUAGAUUAAAAAAAUUUCAUUAGAACGAAAUCGACGAUUAUAUCGCAAAUAUUAGCUUUUGGAAAACGAUGUCAAGCCAAGAUCUACCGACGUGUACCGGUCCAAUCCAAGUCCUGGAAGAUUUCCUUUGGGUAUCCUGGUCAUCUGGACUGCAGAUAUCGUUUUAUUUGCCUUUAUCUUUGUGACACGUCGUGGAACUUCCUCAAGAUAUCACCUGUCUCUACUCGAUGACAGCCUUUUCGAUAUUCUGGAUCAUGAUAAUGAUACUCUUGGCAUCUAAUAGUAUCUGCAACAACGCAGCUCAACGCCGUUACAAGCCUAAUCACCCGAAGCAAAACGAGUCUUAAUGUAUUCAUACACGCGAGCAGACGAUCGCACCCUCCUCCGAUAAUGGUCGUUCUUCGUCGCGGGCCAUUUUGUCGAAUUCGAGCAAUUAGUCCGCUGAACAACGGCCACCGACGAGUAGUACGAGUAGUCGGAGGAUUGGAGGGGCGCGGGACAUCAGGCGUCCAAGUGGGGAAGGGGGAGAAGAACAGAAAGAAGAAACAAGAAGAAGAGCUUAAGAGGAACGGAAGUUAAGUCGAAGUAUCAUUAACCUGGUGGAGGUUGUUGUUUCGUUAAUGAGAUGGCCCACCUGGACGCAACCUGGACUUGUAAGCUGCUUCUUAUCAUCCUCCUGUUCUUGCGCUUGAUAUUGUAACAAUAUGUGUCUGAUAUAUAUACGUA